rnacentral:rRNA from 1 species
UUUUUGGCGAAGUCUGGCGGCGUGCUUUAUACAUGCAAGUCAAGGAGAACGUUUUCUUCGGAAAAUUAUUAAACUGGCGAACGGGUGAGUAACGCGUAGGCAACCUGCCCUAGAGAUUGGGAUAACACCGGGAAACCGGUGCUAAUACCGAAUAAUGCAGCGGAUCCUUCGGGAUACAGUUGUUAAAGCGGGCUUCGGCUCGCACUUUAGGAUGGGCCUGCGUCCGAUUAGCUUGUUGGUAGGGUAACGGCUUACCAAGGCAAUGAUCGGUAGCUGGUCUGAGAGGAUGAUCAGCCACACUGGGAUUGAGAUACGGCCCAGACUCCUACGGGAGGCAGCAGUAGGGAAUUUUGCGCAAUGGGGGAAACCCUGACGCAGCAACGCCGCGUGACCGAUGAAGCUUCUAGGAGCGUAAAGGUCUGUCGUAAGGGAAGAAAAGUUUGGAUGUAAAUAAUGUUCGAGCCUGACGGUACCUUACAAGAAAGCACCGGCUAACUUCGUGCCAGCAGCCGCGGUAAUACGAGGGGUGCAAGCGUUGUCCGGAAUCACUGGGCGUAAAGGGUCCGUAGGCGUCUUAAAAAGUCAUUUGUUAAAUACACCGGCUUAACCGGUGACCUGCAUUUGAAACUAUUGAGAUAGAGUAUAGGAGAGGAAAGCGGAAUUCCUGGUGUAGCGGUGACAUGCGUAGAAUAUCAGGAGGAACACCAAUGGCGAAGGCCGGCUUUCUGGCCUAUUACUGACCCUGAGGGACAAAAGCGUGGGGAGCCAACAGGAUAGA